rnacentral:rRNA from 1 species
AUUGAACGCUGGCGGAAUGCUUUACACAUGCAAGUCGAACGGCAGCACGGGGGCAACCCUGGUGGCGAGUGGCGAACGGGUGAGUAAUACAUCGGAACGUGCCCGGUCGUGGGGGAUAACGUAGCGAAAGUUACGCUAAUACCGCAUACGAUCUGAGGAUGAAAGCGGGGGACCUUCGGGCCUCGCGCGAUCGGAGCGGCCGAUGUCAGAUUAGGUAGUUGGUGGGGUAAAGGCCUACCAAGCCGACGAUCUGUAGCUGGUCUGAGAGGACGACCAGCCACACUGGGACUGAGACACGGCCCAGACUCCUACGGGAGGCAGCAGUGGGGAAUUUUGGAGAAUGGGCGCAAUCCUGAUCCAGCCAUUCCGCGUGCAGGACGAAGGCCUUCGGGUUGUAAACUGCUUUUGUAUGGAACGAAAAGGCUCUGGCUAAUACCUGGGGCUCAUGACGGUACCGUAAGAAUAAGCACCGGCUAACUACGUG